rnacentral:rRNA from 1 species
AACGAACGCUGGCGGCAUGCCUAACACAUGCAAGUCGAACGAGACCUUCGGGUCUAGUGGCGCACGGGUGCGUAACGCGUGGGAACCUGCCCUUAGGUUCGGAAUAACUCCCCGACAGGGGUGCUAAUACCGGAUAAUGUCUUCGGACCAAAGCUUUAUCGCCUUUGGAUGGGCCCGCGUUGGAUUAGCUAGUUGGUAGGGUAAAAGCCUACCAAGGCGACGAUCCAUAGCUGGUCUGAGAGGAUGAUCAGCCACACUGGGACUGAGACACGGCCCAGACUCCUACGGGAGGCAGCAGUGGGGAAUAUUGGACAAUGGGCGAAAGCCUGAUCCAGCAAUGCCGCGUGAGUGAUGAAGGGCUUAGGGUUGUAAAGCUCUUUUACCCGGGAUGAUAAUGACAGUACCGGGAGAAUAAGCGCCGGCUAACUCCGUG